UGGGGGAAUAUUGGGCAAUGGGCGAAAGCCUGACCCAGCGACGCCGCGUGAGGGAAGAAGGUCUUCGGAUUGUAAACCUUUAUGAUCAGGGAAGAAGAAAGUGACGUUACCUGAAGAUGAAGCCACGGCUAACUACGUGCCAGCAGCCGCGGUAAUACGUAGGUGGCAAGCGUUAUCCGGAAUUACUGGGUGUAAAGGGUGUGUAGGCGGGCAGACAAGUCAGAUGUGAAAAAUACGGGCUCAACCCGUAUCCUGCAUUUGAAACUGUAUGUCUUGAGUGUAGGAGAGGUAAACGGAAUUCCCGGUGUAGCGGUGAAAUGCGCAGAUAUCGGGAGGAACACCGGUGGCGAAGGCGGUUUACUGGACCACAACUGACGUUGAGACACGAAAGCGUGGGGAGCAAACAGGAUUAGAUACCCUGGUAGU
rnacentral:rRNA from 1 species